GCCAUACCAUGCUGAAUAUACCGGUUCUCGUUAGAUCACCGAAGUCAAGCAUCAUUGGGCGCGGUCAGUACUUGGGUGGGUGACCACCUGGGAACACCGCGUGC